rnacentral:lncRNA from 1 species
AUAGGCUGGGCAGUGAGCUCCAGGAAGGCAAGGAGGUCUGUGGAGGGACCUAGAGACCAUAGCCUUCCUCAGAGAUCACCAGGUGUCUGGUGGCAUUUUCUUUCCCCUAAAGGGGUGGGGACAGCAAGUGACACCCACGCAUCCACUGAGCCUCCCUUUCCAACUCUGUGUAUGCUACACCAGGCCUCCAACCUGGCUUCCGUUGCAAAGUAGAAACAUGGUCAUUGGAGUGAAAGGUGAUCAAGACCCUAAAUUCCUCCCUCCCCAGCCCAGGCAGAGGUAACGGCUGCUGCUCUGAUUUAUCAAAGCUCAGGGCAUUCCUGCUUGUCCAGCUUGCGAAUUCUCAGGGUCUUUCGAGAGCCUUUUGUGAGGAUCAUCCAUAUUCCUAUCUGGAUUCAGCUGGCUGCUCUCCAUCCACGAAAAAUUUGAUAUUUGGCUUCCUGUUUGUGCUUGAAAAACAGGGCUGACUCUGGAGCUAUAUUUUAUUUAAGCC